UGUAAGCGUAUACCAAAGUUGUUGCAGUUAAAACGCUCGUAGUCGGAAUUUGGCAGUUCCGGAUGUGUGCACGUCGUGUGCGCACUUCGCGGGGAUUGCUUUUGUGGUCUUGUGUAGGAUGAGGCACUUUUAUUAGUGAACGUCCUCACGCAACCACUUUUUACUGUGAGAAAAUCAGAGUGCUCAAAGCAGGCAUUUGCCGUGAAUGUAUUAGCAUGGAAUAAUAGAAUAGGACUUGGUUCUAUUUUGUUGGUUUGUUGGGACUGAGUAAUGAUUAAGAGGGACAGUUGGGGGCAUUUGUAUUUCGGUGCUAGAGGUGAAAUUCUUAGAUUACCGAAAGACAAACUGCUGCGAAAGCGUCUGCCAAGGAUGUUUUCAUUGA
rnacentral:rRNA from 1 species